rnacentral:tRNA from 1 species
GCGGGGGUUGCCGAGCGGCCAAAGGCGCGGGGCUUAGGCCCCCGUCCCGCAGGGGUUCGUGGGUUCGAAUCCCACCCCCCGCA